rnacentral:rRNA from 1 species
GAUUAACGCUGGCGGCGUGCUUAACACAUGCAAGUCGAACGAUGAAACCUAACUGAUUUCUUCGGAAUGAUUUUAAGUGGAUUAGUGGCGGACGGGUGAGUAACGCGUGAGUAACCUGCCUUGGAGAAGGGGAUCGCCUUUGGAAACGAAGAAUAAUACCCUAUGAUAUGAUUAUAACUCAUGAUAUUAUCAUCAAAGAUUUAUCGCUCUAAGAUGGACUUGCGUCUGAUUAGUUAGUCGGUGAGGUAACAGCUCACCAAGGCAGCGAUCAGUAGCCGGCUGUGGAGGGUGUACGGCCGCAUUGGGAAUGAGACACGGCCCAGAGUCCGACGGGAGGCAGCAGUGGGGAAUUAUGGACGAUGGGGGGAACCCGGAUGCAGCGACGCCGCGUGAUUUAGAUGGCGUUCGGGUUGUAAAAAUCUUUUGUAUAGGAAGAAAGUGACGGUACCAGACGAAUAAGGACCGGCUAAUUACGUG